rnacentral:rRNA from 1 species
AGAGCUCGUAGGCGGUUUGUCGCGUCUGCCGUGAAAGUCCGGGGCUUAACUCCGGAUCUGCGGUGGGUACGGGCAGACUAGAGUGCAGUAGGGGAGACUGGAAUUCCUGGUGUAGCGGUGAAAUGCGCAGAUAUCAGGGGAACACCGAUGGCGAAGGCAGGUCUCUGGGCUGUAACUGACGCUGAGGAGCGAAAGCAUGGGGAGCGAACAGGAUUAGAUACCCUGGUAGUCCAUGCCGUAAACGUUGGCACUAGGUGUGGGGGACAUUCCACGUUUUCCGCGCCGUAGCUAACGCAUUAAGUGCCCCGCCUGGGGAGUACGGCCGCAAGGCUAAAACUCAAAGGAAUUGACGGGGGCCCGCACAAGCGGCGGAGCAUGCGGAUUAAUUCGAUGCAACGCGAAGAACCUUACCAAGGCUUGACAUGAACCGGAAUGAUGCAGAGAUGUGUCAGCCACUUGUGGCCGGUUUACAGGUGGUGCAUGGUUGUCGUCAGCUCGUGUCGUGAGAUGUUGGGUUAAGUCCCGCAACGAGCGCAACCCUCGUUCCAUGUUGCCAGCGGGUUAUGCCGGGGACUCAUGGGAGACUGCCGGGGUCAACUCGGAGGAAGGUGGGGACGACGUCAAAUCAUCAUGCCCCUUAUGUCUUGGGCUUCACGCAUGCUACAAUGGCCGGUACAAAGGGUUGCGAUACUGUGAGGUGGAGCUAAUCCCAAAAAGCCGGUCUCAGUUCGGAUUGAGGUCUGCAACUCGACCUCAUGAAGUUGGAGUCGCUAAUAAUCGCAGAUCAGCAACGCU